GAUGAAUGCUGACAGCAUGCUUAACACAUGCAAGUCAACUGUGGCGGACGGGUGAGUAACGCGUAAAGAACUUGCUUCACAGUUAGUGACAUCCUUUGGAAACGAAUGCUAAUUCCUGAUACUGUGAGAGAGCUUUUCGUCCCAUUAGCUAGUUGGAGAGGUAACGGCUCACCAAGGCGAUGAUCGGUAGCCGGACUGCGAGUGUGAUCGGUCACCAGGGGACUGAGGCACGACCCUUACUCCUACGGGAGGCAGCAGUGGGGAAUAUUGGGCACGAGACCAAAGACUGAUCCAGGAUGUCUGUGUGUACGAUGAAGUUUUCGGGAUGUAGAGUGCUUUCAGUUGGAAAGCGAUACCAACAGAAGAGGGGAGGGCUAACUCCGUGCCAGCAGCCGCGGUAAUAC
rnacentral:rRNA from 1 species